UACAGAGGUCUCAAGCGUUGUUCGGAUUCAUUGGGCGUAAAGGGUGCGUAGGCUGCGCGGAAAGUUGGGUGUGAAAUCCCUCGGCUCAACCGAGGAACUGCGCCCAAAACUACCGUGCUCGAGGAAGAUAGAGGUAAGCGGAACUUACGGUGGAGCGGUGAAAUGCGUUGAUAUCGUAAGGAACACCUGUGGCGAAAGCGGCUUACUGGGUCUUUUCUGACGCUGAUGCACGAAAGCUAGGGGAGCAAACGGG
rnacentral:rRNA from 1 species